rnacentral:rRNA from 1 species
AACACAGGUGCUGCAUGGCUGUCGUCAGCUCGUGUCGUGAGAUGUUGGGUUAAGUCCCGCAACGAGCGCAACCCUCACCUUUAGUUGCUACCAGGUUAUGCUGGGCACUCUAGAGGAACCGCCGGUGAUAAGCCGGAGGAAGGCGGGAUGACGUCAAGUCCUCAUGGCCCUUACGGGCUGGGCUACACACGUACUACAAUGGUGGUGACAGUGGGAUGCGAAAGCGCGAGCUGGAGCGAAUCCCCAAAAGCCAUCUCAGUUCGGAUUGCACUCUGCAACUCGAGUGCAUGAAGUUGGAAUCGCUAGUAAUCGUGGAUCAGAAUGCCACGGUGAAUACGUUCCCGGGCCUU